GUGCUUGCUUCAGCAGUACAUAUACUAAAAUUGGAAUGAUACAGAGAAGAUUAGCAUGGCCCCUCCACAAGGAUGACACUCAAAUUCAUAAGAAAUCAUUCCUAGCAUGU